rnacentral:lncRNA from 1 species
AGACAGAGAAGGAGGCAAAAGUGACAGAAGAAGCUCAUGGGAAACCAACAGAAAUGUAAUGGCUUUGGCAGAAAUGCAAUUAUCAAUUGGGAGCUUGAGAUGAAUGUUUUCUCAGUAUCCUAUGCUGAAAACAGGUAGAUACUAAUAUCGAUCUUCAAGGGAGGGCUGUUGAGUUUUGAAUAAGACAAAAACAUGGAAGCAAUCAGCACCAUGCUGGAAUCAAGGCUAUCUGUAAUCACAGGGCUAUUUGAAAAAGAGAAGAAAAGGUGUCUUGAAAUUCAACCAACAUGUUUCAAUUAUUUGCUCCUAAGAACAACAGAAGUUUCAACAUUCUGCCAACAAAGUAACUCCUGGAAGAUUGGCACAGAAGAAGGCACAAGGAGAGCCUUUAUAUAACCAAAGAUAUUUUUGGACCAUGAAUUCGGAAAUUCUCGGAGCCACCCAUCAGUGCCUGAGCUUCAGUGAGUCCAUAUCCCAUGUCACCCACGGCAAAGGAGAAUCUAAGACUUCUGAAGAGUUUCUUGCUUCUUUCCUGUGGGGCAGUGACUCCACUUCCCAGCAGUAAUGGAAUAUCCUGAAUUAGCUACAUUAAUGUUAGAACCAUUUGGACCUCACCCAGGACUUCAACUACAUUAUGGUUCUAGUAUGUUAGGUUUAUGUUCCCCUGCUUUCUACAAUCCUGUUCAAAGAGUUGCUGACUUAACCACAGAGAGGAUUCCAGAACAUGAGACACAGAAUAAACUUGAGCAAUCAUAGUCCAUCCACUUCAUUUUCUCAUCAAAAACCAAAGGUCCAGUGAAGCUCUGGAACUCAACGCUGUAAAGGAGCGAAGGAGCUUCUAUACAGAGCCUGGAUGCCUGUCUCCUUAUCCUACUUCAGUGGACUUGACUGCAAUCCGGACUAUGC